rnacentral:rRNA from 1 species
UACGUAGGGGGCAAGCGUUGUCCGGAUUUAUUGGGCGUAAAGAGCGUGUAGGCGGCCAAACAGGUCAGCUGUGAAAACUCGAGGCUCAACCUCGAGACGUCGGUUGAAACCGUUUGGCUAGAGUCCGGAAGAGGAGAGUGGAAUUCCCGGUGUAGCGGUGAAAUGCGCAGAUAUCGGGAAGAACACCCGUGGCGAAGGCGGCUCUCUGGGCCGAUACUGACGCUGAGGAGCGAAAGCGUGGGGAGCGAACAGG